UAAGGAAUCUUCCGCAAUGGGCGAAAGCCUGACGGAGCGACACCGCGUGCAGGAUGAACCCCUUCGGGGUGUAAACUGCUUUUCUGAGGGAAGAAGAUCUGACGGUACCUCAGGAAUAAGCCCCGGCUAAUUACGUGCCAGCAGCCGCGGUAAUACGUAAGGGGCGAGCGUUAUCCGGAAUCACUGGGCGUAAAGCGUCCGCAGGUGGUUUAGCAAGUCUGUCAUUAAAUACCAGUGCUCAACAUCGGUGCCGUGAUGGAAACUGCUAAACUAGAGGAAGUCAGAGGUGUGUGGAAUUCUGCAAGUAGGGGUAAAAUCCGUAGAUAUGCAGAGGAAUACCAAAAGCGAAGGCAGCACACUGGGGCUUUCCUGACACUCAGGGACGAAAGCGUGGGGAGCAAAACGG
rnacentral:rRNA from 1 species